GCUAAACGCGAAGAACCUUACCUAGGCUUGACAUAUAGAUGACGAUAUCAGAGAUGAUAUUUCUCUUCGGAGCGUCUAUACAGGUGCUGCAUGGCUGUCGUCAGCUCGUGCCGUGAGGUGUUGGGUUAAGUCCCGCAACGAGCGCAACCCUUAUCAUUAGUUGCCAACAGUUCGGCUGGGGACUCUAAUGAGACUGCCUGGGUUAACCAGGAGGAAGGUGAGGAUGACGUCAAGUCCGCAUGGCCCUUAUGUCUAGGGCUACACACGUGCUACAAUGGCCGGUACAGAAGGCAGCGAAACCGUGAGGUGUAGCAAAUCCUAUAAAGCCGGUCCCAGUUCGGAUUGUAGUCUGCAACUCGACUACAUGAAGUUGGAAUUGCUAGUAAUGGCGUGUCAGCAACAACGCCGUGAAUA
rnacentral:rRNA from 1 species